rnacentral:rRNA from 1 species
AGAGUUUGAUCCUGGCUCAGGAUGAACGCUGGCGGCGUGCUUAACACAUGCAAGUCGAGCGAAGCGCUUUACUUAGAUUUCUUCGGAUUGAAGAGUUUUGCGACUGAGCGGCGGACGGGUGAGUAACGCGUGGGUAACCUGCCUCAUACAGGGGGAUAACAGUUAGAAAUGACUGCUAAUACCGCAUAAGACCACGGUACCGCAUGGUACAGUGGGAAAAACUCCGGUGGUAUGAGAUGGACCCGCGUCUGAUUAGCUAGUUGGUAAGGUAACGGCUUACCAAGGCGACGAUCAGUAGCCGACCUGAGAGGGUGACCGGCCACAUUGGGACUGAGACACGGCCCAAACUCCUACGGGAGGCAGCAGUGGGGAAUAUUGCACAAUGGGGGAAACCCUGAUGCAGCGACGCCGCGUGAAGGAUGAAGUAUUUCGGUAUGUAAACUUCUAUCAGCAGGGAAGAAAAUGACGGUACCUGACUAAGAAGCCCCGGCUAACUACGUGCCAGCAGCCGCGGU